rnacentral:rRNA from 1 species
AUUGAACGCUGGCGGCAUGCCUAACACAUGCAAGUCGAGCGAGCAGAUCCCUUCGGGGUGAAGCUAGCGGCGGACGGGUGAGUAACACGUGGGCAACCUGCCUCAUAGAGGGGAAUAGCCUUCCGAAAGGAAGAUUAAUACCGCAUAAGAUUGUAGCUUCGCAUGAAGUAGCAAUUAAAGGAGCAAUCCACUAUGAGAUGGGCCCGCGGCGCAUUAGCUAGUUGGUGAGGUAACGGCUCACCAAGGCGACGAUGCGUAGCCGACCUGAGAGGGUGAUCGGCCACAUUGGGACUGAGACACGGCCCAGACUCCUACGGGAGGCAGCAGUGGGGAAUAUUGCACAAUGGGGGAAACCCUGAUGCAGCAAUGCCGCGUGAGUGAUGACGGCCUUCGGGUUGUAAAGCUCUGUCUUCGGGGACGAUAAUGACGGUACCCGAGGAGGAAGCCACGGCUAACUACGUGCCAGCCGCCGCCGUAA